rnacentral:rRNA from 1 species
UACGUAGGGUGCAAGCGUUAAUCGGAAUUACUGGGCGUAAAGCGUGCGCAGGCGGUUGUGCAAGACAGAUGUGAAAUCCCCGGGCUCAACCUGGGAACUGCAUUUGUGACUGCACGGCUAGAGUGCGGCAGAGGGGGAUGGAAUUCCGCGUGUAGCAGUGAAAUGCGUAGAUAUGCGGAGGAACACCGAUGGCGAAGGCAAUCCCCUGGGCCUGCACUGACGCUCAUGCACGAAAGCGUGGGAGCAAACAGG